GCCCCGCUAGCUCAGUUGGUAGAGCAUGAGACUUUUAAUCUCAAGGUCGUGGGUUCGUGCCCCAUGUUGAGCG